CAGACACACGAUAAUUAAAGUCUCUAAAAAACAAAAGGAAAGAAAGGUAGUUCUAGGAAGAGAGGGUUGGUGUUGGAAACUGUUUAGUUGGUGCCUGAGCUAGACUUCAGGUGUAGUGAAUUACAAGGAGAAGGGAAACAAGUAGUGGAUAAGUUAAUCAAAAGAAAAUUAGCCAAACUCACUGUCACUUGAACACUCAAUCAAAAUGACUGUAGCCAACACAGAUAAACCAACUACCUGUGUUUCCACAAGUAUUAGCUUGUCUUGUAUCACAACCUAGGAUUCUCUAAUAUUCAUCAUGAAUAAUGAAUACAAAUCUCAUAACUAUGAACAUUUGAAAUAUGAAAAUAUGACUCAUAAUGUCCUUUGACUUUUAAAACUCAAAAACCCAGGGGAGUGGUAAAAUCAGACUAGAGAUGAUCUCUGACCACCAUACCUAUCAAAGGACAUCUUGCUUUAAUGUAUAUGGUACAUGGGCAAUAAAGACUAAGUAUAGACACAUUUUAAAAAUCAGAUGUGAGAAAAUAACUGAAACCCAGGUGCUUUCGUCUGGCGAUAACACUAUAUUUGUCAUUUCUGUCUCUUGCAGAAAAGACUGGUCAUGCUAUACAGCCGACUAACACCUGCUAAAAGAAGGGUGUCGGGAGAGUCGCACAGUCCCAUGAGCUGUCGUGGCCACAGCCACAGCCGCAUCUGACCACAGGUGUAUCCAAAAUACCAUUCUUUUCAAACACACAUUUCCAUCUUCUUGUAUAAAGGAUAUGAACUCAUCUUAGAGGAGCUUUAGAGAGAUCUAAACACUCGGGUGAUCCCAAACAUGAAGAAUUUGCGAGAUGCAGUACGUGGGCUCAUAAUUUCAUAUGGUUUUGCUCUCAAUUACGUUACCGUUAUCACAUGGGUAAACAUUUGACGAAAGAAACAGUGGAAUUGGGGGAAAGAAAAUGAAGACAAAAUGUCCUUACAUGGAGAUUCAAAGCCUGUGAGUAAUUAAAGGGAAUCUCUGCAGAGGAAAAUGGUACUGCAGACGCGGGGGAAACGGUGCACAGCAGGCGGAGGCUGCUUGUCCUUACAGAGCCUGUGUCAGCAUCCUUCCCAGACAGACAGGCGGUUCUUAAUGUGGGGGAAUUUAUGGAUAAUGGAUUUUCAUAACAGAUCUUUUAUGACCUUUCCCUCCCUGAAAAGUGCCCUCCAGAGCUUUUCUGCUUCCACUCUUAGUUUUAAUUGGAAAAAGAUUUACUAUUCAUUUCCUCCUUCCCAGUUGGCCUCUCCAUUCGGAUGGCACAGCCUUCCACCUCUAUUCACGUGCCCCUCGGCUCCUCCUGGGAACCAGAAAAUUCUAACAUACUGGUACACGAGACCAGGAACCCUAUUUGUAGGAUCACCAGUGAGAGAAGUGAUUAUCAUUUUAACACGGAAGCAUAGAAGGUGAUUCCUACUCCCAGUCUCCAGAAAAACCACAUAAACUCAUCUGGAAUCCACUGGCUUGCAUCUCCCCUCCACAUGCUAGCAUCUCACAAGUUUAUUUACAAGUGAAGGUAAACCUUGAGAGGAGACAGGAAAUGGAAAAUGAAGGGCCACAUCCUGGACACUUGGCCCACCGGAAAGGACACGUAUCGUUGCAGGGGACUUGGCAGCCACCUCUGGGUCCAGCCUCCCUGCUGUUGGGAAAGGAAGUCAAUAAUACUUCUCGGCUCUUGGUGGGUUAUGGUCCAGUCAAAGGAAACUUUACCAAAGAUGGGGUGUGCUCAAGACAUGAUGUCGGGGGUGGGGGUGAGCUAACACUCAUUUAUGACAUGGUAGAAAGCCAAACCAAAGAACACCUGUUUGCAUGCUUAAAGAUGCUCUUCAAGCAAAGGCGAAAGUAUCCUCAUUUUAGCAGGUAAUGUUCAAAAUGAAGCAUCUAGGCUUAUGUGUACAGAUUAAAUUAGCAGCAUUGACAGCUGAAGCGUCAGGGAACUAACUACCCAGCUUCUGAGAGGGUGACAUGGGCCUUACAGAUUUUCUUGUGUGGCACUUAAAAUAUCCUGAAGAGUCCUCGCCUGGACUAGUGUAUCUGUAUUCCAAGAGACGAAUAACCAGGAAGGCUUAGGCUGUUUUCUGAUGAGACACGAAAGCAACCUCUGCUGCGGUAACACAGACAACAGACUUCUAAACUGCCACAUAGUUUGAUUACAAAUGACCCUUUGCAACAGCAGCAUCAGCAUAUGGGUUUCUAAUCCUGUGUACAUUCUGCUCUCUAGCCAAACCACUGGCCAUCUGGACCCCGACUCUGAGGGAGGGCAGUUCAGUUUAGUUGAGAGAGCAGAGCAAUGAACCCUAGGCAGGAUAGGGUAUGUAGACACCUAGAGUUUGAGGAGGAGGCAGGGAAUGUGGCAGAUACCAAGGUGGAGUUUUGGAUGGUGGUGUGGGAUGUUGGCUGCGACUGCCUAUGCUCUGACACCGAGCCGCUAGAACAAAGGCAUCUUUAAGACACUGGUGGAGGAGUUGCUCUGUUUAAGCCACUGGAGGAGGAAGCCAAGGGGGAACAUGGCUUAAAAUAGAGUUAUGAUUCGGCAGGGGAGCCAAGAAACGUGCAAGGAUGUAAUGGAAGUUCAAGUGUGGUAAAUAUUAAAGGAGAUUUAUGCAGAAGCGUAAAGGAUGGAUAAUACUGUCUUGACCAUAGGAUCAAAGAAGGCUUCCUGGAGAAAGUGACAGUUGAGCUGGGCCUAGGAUUCAGGGUGUGCAAGGAGGGAAGAGGCCCUUUCUUCAUUCAGAGAGCACAAAUGGAAAGUUGUAAAGUCAGGAAAUGUGGACAUGGAAAAGCAAACACUUCAGUCUGGCCAGGGCUCAGGACGCAGGAAGGGCACCAGGGAAGGAAGCUCAGGUUACGUAUGGUCCAGACCCGAGCGUGGCUCCACUAAGAGGAAGGGCAGACCAGCAAGUCUACAGAUCUUGAGAGAGGAUCCUUCCUGGGUCCAGCCCCGUGGAAACGCAGCCUAAAUGUAGGACAGACAGCACAUACGGAGGACAGACAGCACACAUGGAGGACAGACAGCACACACGGAGGAGGAUUUCCUAGUUCUGUCUCCACUCCAGGUGUUUCAACUCAUCCUACAGCUUUUCCCUGGGAAAUAAAAGAAAUAGGGCCAGCUACCCAAUAUCAAGGGCUCCAUAAAUCUUAGCAACAAGAAGAGCCUUGAGCUCAGCAAAUCCUUGGGCCAUUCAGAACAGUAGUUUGUGGCAGACUUCUCAAGAGCAGUAAGUUAGGCCCUCAAUUCUUUGUGAACUGAAUAGCUGCUCUCUCUCUCUCUCUCUCCCUCUCUCUCUCUCUCUACCCCCAUCUCCCUUACCCCAUCAGCCUUCCACUAAACCUACACUUGUGUGUUAAGGUGUGCAAAGCUUGGGGCAUAGGAGGUACAAUAGGAUGGAAUUGGGGAGGUGAUCUUAAUUUAAUCACUGCUCUGUGCACGGUAACCUGGGGACCUGAGCCGGACAGUGCUACUACUGCAGAGCUACUGACCACUGGGCCAGGGUUUUAGUUCAGUUCCCACCCAGGGUGUCUUCCUACCCUGGGGACAUCCUCAAGAUGUUCUGCCAAUUAACCAAUGGCCUCCCAUCAUCACAGAGGCCAGGGACGGCCAAACUAUGGCCUGCUGGUCAAAUCCAGUCCACACAUCUUUUCCGUAAGUUAUUUCCUUAGAAACUAACUAUUCUCAUCUUGUCUAUGAUCCAUCUGAGCCUCCAGUUUCAGAGGUGAGUUAAAGGGGCAGAAGCUACAUAGCUCACAGAUUUGAAAGGAAACACCAUGUGAUCCUGUGUUGAUCACGCAUGGCUAUUUGCUUGUAAUUGAUUUGUAACAAUGGUCUUAAUACUCCUAUCAAAAAUUAAACAGAGCCAGGUGUGGUGGUGGACAACUUUCUUCCCAGCACUCAGGCAGAAGCAGACAGACAUCUAUGAGCCUGGUCUAUGUAGCAAAUUCUAGGCCAGCCUGGGCUACAUAGUGAGACUUUGUCUAACAAAGAAAGAAAGAAAGAAAGAAAGAAAGAAAGAAAGAAAGAAAGAAAGAAAGAAAGAAAGAAAGAAAACAACAAAAAGCCAGGUGCCAUCAGUUAUCUGUCUUGAUUUAUAUAUAUUCAGUUAUUUACAAAUUAAUCAUAUAUAGUACUAUUGAAAUGCUUACACAUUAUAAAACACAAAAAGAAGUGUAAGAGAAUAAUACUGAAAAAACUUAUUAAAGGUCUAAUUUAUCAGUAUUCAUAGAACUUCUAUUACAUCUUAAUCUUAGUUUUAGCACACUGUGAUCAGUUAUUUGAAAGCCUGGCUAGCGUGAGCUUCAGUUGAUUCUGCCAUUCAACUUUCAAUGACAGUUGCAGCUUAGGGUUUUUUUUUUUUUUUUUAAUUUUUAAAAUUAUAUGAGUAUGAGUGUUUGCUUGAAUUUAUACGUGAGCACCAUGUGUAUGUCUGGUGCUUGAGGAAGUCAGAAAAGGGUGGUAGAUGCCCUGGAACCAGAAUCAUGGAUGUUUGUGAGCCAUCGAGGGGUGUUGGGGAUUGAAGCCAGGUCCCCUGCAAGAACAACUGCUCUUAAGGGCUGAGUCCUCUCUCCAGUCCCUUAGUCUUGUGUUUAAGUUUAUGGAAAAUGGAUACGUACAAGUGGGAGAGAUAAACGCUUGGUAUGUUGAAGCAUGGAGCUAACAUACUAAAUCCCCCCUAAUUUCCAAUGUGUGUCUGUCCACCAUUUCUCCUUCCAAAGCCACACGAAUUUUAAAUAAAUUGCUUCAACUUCUACUUGUGAGAUUUAAGAGUUUUAUUUCCCCCUCAAGCCUAGGUAUGAAGACAAGGUAUGAUUGUCUUGGUAGAUCACACUUACAGAUUUUUUCAACAACAAAAUCACAAACGAAAGUCUAUUUUCCACAUAAUUUUUUUUUUUACCAUGUGAGUUUUUGCUGAAGGUGAAAAUGUUGGUCAGUGACUAUGGCGGUCGAUGGCUGUGCGGUCGGCGACUGUACUAAGAACCUUGGGCUUGUAUAUCUACAGUGGGUGGACUGUGUGCUACGUGGAUUGGGUUUCAGUAGAGAUUACAGACCUAGGAAAAGCCUUUGGCUCCUCACACAGCCUGCUGAAAAAAGCAAGCGAGGGGCAGAGGAAGCCCUCCUCCGUGCUCCCUCAGCGAGGUGGGCACUGGCUCCCUGAGCACAACCUUCCUUGUAUUUCCAGCAAUUUCCCUUCUGCCUGCAGCUUCUGCACAAACCUUCAAAGCACAGGGCUCUUUAGCAAUGUUAGUUUAAACUAGAUAAGGCCUGCCACAGGUAAACCUUCUGACUCCACCGAGACUAGAGGGCCACGUGGCACCGAGAGCUGCGCAUUCUAAGCCCCGUGCUUGCCUCUGGGGAUGGUACACAUGGCUAGAAAAGGGGUCAGGGGUAAGGUGUCAGGGCCAGAAGGGAUGGCCAGAAAAGUACCAGAAAAAGCUUUAAUUCUUUGCCCUUCCACUCCAUUUUCUCUUCCCCUGCCUUCCUGCUUCUAUAGCAACAUUAACAUCCCCCUUUCCUCUUGCCAGCUCCAGAUGCACCGACCCUCCACCCUCGAGAGAGGCUCAGAAGCAGCAGGCAUCCUGAAAAUCGGCCUGUGCCUCCUGUGAAGUCACCAAGGUUGUGUCAGACCUGCAUCACGGACUGCUUUAUUUGCAUCUAAGACCCCACCCCCUACAUCCAUCAUCAGGAGUGUUCCUCUAGAGCUAAAGUUCUGUUUCACCCCCACCUCACCCCGGCACCAUGUGAUUUCCAUACACUACUUUCAUUGACUAAGGAUGCCCAAAAGCAUGAAAGGGAAGCAAAAGGCAUUGAAACACUGACAGGUGGCACCUGGGGAGGCACCGAAGGUGUUCCGGGGUGUGGGGGAAUCUCACUGAGGGAAGAAAUGACCGUGACUAUGAGAUGACAGAUCAGAACCAUAUUAAACCUGAACGGAGCAACAGCAUCAGCUUCACAGCUUGAUGGCAGAGGUGACAUCAGCAACAAAUACAAGAGCGGGACCCCAACUUGUCACAUUUCUCUCAAACCCUCCCCCUCUAAACAUUGAAAGUGUGGUAACCCGACACCUCAUUUCUCUCAAAUCCUUCCCUCUAAUUGUUGAAAGCAAUUACUGGCCACAAACUUUCCAGUGCUUGCUUGGGCUGGUACAUUUUGCGCACUGGUCUAGAAUGCAAAUGUUUCAGUGGAUUUAUCAUGGAUAUGCUUGGUAUCCUUAUGCUUCUUUCUUGGCAGAAGUCAUUAUUCAGAUCCCUCCUGGAACUAGGAACUGGAAAAGAUGAAUGUAGUAAGAAACUCACAGACAUUAAGUACCUCUCUCUGAGCACACUGUUAAUAAACAGAUAAACUGGAACCCAAGAUUUUCAGGAUGGUCAAGUCUCGGGAUUCUUAACAUACAUGUUGCUCAUCUGUCAAGAGUACUUAAGAACUGGCGGCCCUGGUUGACAAACACAUCUUACAUCCUACCACAUUCUUUCCUUCCUGGUGUUCCUCAUUUAGGACAAAUAAGAAAAAUGAGGAAGUCUAUUUUUUUUUUUUUUUUUGCCUCAGUGUUUAGCAAAUGUCCUUGAAGACUGGACUUGUCCUGAAGACAGUUGUGUGGGACCUGCUUCCUAGUGGGAACUAAACAAAGCAAGUACAACCAGAGACAAAGAACUCUUGACUUUCUGAAAAGUGGGAUAUGAUAAUGAAUGCAGGUCAAUCACAGACUCAAUUCCACCGCAUUUGCCCCAGCCUCGGGGGCUCUGGGGUUUCUGAAAAAUGGGAUGCUCAGAAUCAAAAGCAGGGGUGUGGUAUACUGAUUGAAGCUUCCACCGGGAUUCGUUGCUGUGGGGACUAGUUCCCUUAGCUUCCGCUAGCCUUUCCACAGGUGGAGAAGGCAGAGCACAGUGAACUUAGCAACCUAUCCGCUGCUGGUAUUUUUCUUAUGGCUGUAGCCUUCAGGGAAGAAGUGUAACUUCUGACUCACACUGUCUUCUGCACACGGUUGCUUGGCUACGUGUGUUCCAUCAAAACAUCAUGGCGGUGAGAGCUAGAAAAGGCCGUUCUACACAUCACCUUGUGGUGGACAGGAAGCAGAGAGCAACUGGAAACUACCAGGACAAGGAUCUAUCCUCUAAAACCUGGACCCCAACCCCAGCCCCCUGCCUGGUGACCUGUUAGACGCCACCUCCUCAAGCUUCCGUAAUCCUACAAAACAGCAACCAUCAGCUGGGGACCAAGUGUACAACACAUGGGCUUGUGUGGAGACACUUUAAACCAUCAUUCACUCAGUGAUUAAUAGUGGUCACUUCAUUCUCUUCCCCUGGAAACCCCACAGGGGUGUGAUUUGCUUGCUGCCUUCGGUAGAAUCCACUGCUGUAUGCAUACAGUGUUUCCCUUCCUAACAUGCUAAAGCGGCCAGUGCAUGGUCUUCUCUGAAGGAUGGGGAGACCAUUCGUACUUGGCUGUUAUCUUAACCUUCGUCUGAGACUUUCAAAAUGAAGGACAAAACCAUGUGGAGGAUGAAACUCUAGAAAAGGAGAGUGAAGCAGUCUACUCACCAGCCCCGGGUUACAGACUUGGUCCCCAGGCUUGCUAUACUGUAGUGUGGAGGGGGCACUACUGUUAAUAAGUGGGUCCCACUUAGAAGAAGUUAGCAGGAGAAUGUCUAUGAACUGGCCUUUUUGUGUCUUUUUGUUUCCCAGAAACCAAGUCUGUAGACCGUGUCUUCCACCACACACUUGUGCCAUGAUGCUACACCACAAAAAAGGCCCAAAGUCAUAAGGCCAAAUGAUCAGAGACCAACACCUCUGCAUCAAUGGACCCAAACAAAAGAAGUUCAUCAGCUCGGGCAUUUUUGUCAAAGAAAACACUGAAGUACACAAUCAGUAAGCAGCCAUGGGAAGGGAAAACACAGAGAGAAUUAAAUAAAGCCGGCAGACGUGGCUUGGAAGGAGGAGAUGUCCAGAGUUACUUAGAGUCUAAACAGGAACCCAGCACAGGUUGAAGGACACAUUCAUUUUAAUCAGCAUCUGUAUGUGAUGAGGUUGAUAAUAAAUUAGGAAGGAAAUGUGAAAGACCGAUGAGAAAAACAUAGCCUAUUUUAUCUACAAGUUUAUUGUUUUAAACUGCCCUUACCAAACAAUUUUGUUUAACGUAAGUUGCCUUUAAUAAAACGUGGCCUUAAACACAGAGGAAAUUGAUGUUGAUCAAACUUGUGGUGUAAAACGUAGCAUCAGGCAAAGUGUGCCCUUCACAAAUCUGCUCAGAACUUAACAACCCAACGACCACCUAGUUGCUUUUUUGAUUUCUACAACCAGCAAAAAUAUUUAAGGGGGGAGGGGGAGGAAGAUGACCUAAUUGGGUUUCUUAACUACAAAGCUGGUUACAACAUCACAACCAAAUACCACUCUGAAAACUUCACUUACGAGGUUGCAUCAUACGGACUCUUGCCUGGCUCUAUGGAGAACACAUGGUCUCCCUAAGUGUUCCUCUGAUACUAAGUUUUCAUUGGGAAAGCAAGGUUGUUUAAUAACAGCUUCACUAGGUUUUUGUCCUUAAUGUUUUUCUGUAUACUUUGAUGGAUGGUGGGUGUCUCUGUUCACCUUUCCACACAGCAGACAUUAGCAUCUCCUGUAUCAUGGCCUCGCCAUGUCGAAGCAGGCUGAAGUGACUUUUUGAGAUCAUGGUGUCAUUUACAGGAGUUAGUUCAGAAUUGAGGCUCUCUGAGGCAUACGAAUGCGCUCACACACACACACACACACACACACACACACACACACACACACACACAUUUGGGCAGUAGAUAAAGGGUGAUGGCAAAGCUUACUUAUGAAGCGUUUGGGAGGUUACAGAAUGACAUAAGCUUGGGGACAGAGCCUGGGCUUUGUUCUUUUCAAUGUUCUUAGUGCCCGAUACAACAUACUAACUAGUACAGGAAACUCAGAAUAUUUGUUGAAUGAAUAGAUGGAAGUGAGGGAGGUUUACAGAUUCUAAAAGACUCCUCUUAAAAAUUCAAUUAGGGCUGGAAACAAAUCCAGCCAGUGCUACAUUUAUAGAAAAGCCUUUCCAAAACUUUCAUUUGUAAAUUGGGUUUUGGAGCUUCAGCACCAUUCCACAUGGUAGCUGGGACUUCAGGCCAGAGAGUCCACAGCCACCUUUUCAGCCCCAAGGUACGUGGGAAAGUAGAGCAGAGGCGUGCAGCUGUGCGCCUGUGGGAAAUGCAUCCUCACCACCCAGUUAGGAAUGCCAGGGAUGCCAGGGACAAGUCGGGGAGCUGAGCUCUCUGCGCCUGUACCUGCCUUGUUGGACCAACCUCUACAGAGCCACUUUUGAUGGGUGAAGAAAGAUUGGAUACACAGCAUAACGUGAGGCCUUAUCCCCCAACCAAGGCAGGGGAGAGGGAAGAGGAAGAGUCACAAAAAACGGCGUCCACUGUGGUGACCAGGUGCCUGGAUGGCGAACCGGCCAUUCACAGGGGAGACAGACUCAGAGAAUCAAGACUAUUUCCAUGGUGGCUUGCAGGAACCCUACAAUCACAUUUCAGCAACAGCCUUGACUGAGUGAUCAAUCCUUGCAAAGCAAAAUUAUCCAUUCUAUACCUUUCUUCCCUAUGUUUCAUGAAUACUGUCAUUUUACUCCUCCCCAGAGAAGAGGCCUAGAAAGCUCAAUCCCUUAAAACCCAUCUUUGGGGCUGGAGAGACGGUGAAGCCAGCAAAAGUGCCUAUCACACAAGCCCGGGUUUGGUCCCUGGAACCCACAGAAGGCUAGAUGCAGUGACUCAUAUCUGCAAGACUAGUGCCCUUAUGGCAAGAUGAGAGACAGAGACUGAACAGGCCGGAAGUUCACAGGCCAGCUAGCCUGGAGUGCACUAGGCAGUGGAACUCAGAGAGACACGCCUCAGCAAGGGAAAAGGAGAGAAAUGACUCAUGAAGUUUGUCCUCUGACCUCCAUGCCUGCACCAGUAUUCACACACACACACACACACACACACACACACACACACACACACACACUCAUACUUAACACAUCACAUCACACACAUACUCUUACACACAUCACACACUCAUACUUAGGCUUACAUCACAUCACACACUUACACCUCUCUCUCUCUCUCUCUCUCUCUCUCUCUCUCUCUCUCUCUCUCUCUCUUUCUCUCUCUCUUGCGCGCUCGCGCGCACACACACACACACACAAAUCCAAUUUGUAACGCAAAGCAAGAAUCACAAAAUACACAUGCUGCUUUCUUUGUAAGAGAAGACAGUCUAGGGGCCGUUACCUUUCUUUCUGACACACUCUAACCUGUGGCUUCCCUGACACCCUGGGCUACUGUCGACCAGAGUGGGACAUGAAAAGCAAUCUGACUGCCAGCUUCUAGAGAAGGUAAAGGUGACAAUAAAGAGGCGGUGGGCACAGCUUGGGGUGAGUAUCUCUGCUUCACAGCACAUCUAAGAAUAACACUGAAGAUGACAACUCCCAGACACUGGAAAUUAUUUUAAAUGGGCUGUAAUGUUGCUCAUAAGAGGGGAAAGAAAUACUUUCUGUUAUUAAUAGGAAAGCUAUCCUAUUGGAAAAUCAAAAUGUUACAUCCCCUGGCACACUGGAUAAAACAAUACUUUAAAUAUUUUUAUUUCUUUAACUUUUUAAUGUGUACAGGUAUUCUGCCUGCAAGUAGUUCUGUGCACCACGUGCGUUCCUGGAGCCCAUGAAGUGGGAGGACUUUGAAUUCCUGGAACCUGGAGCUACAGACCACUGUGAGCUAGCAUGCUGGUGCUAGAGAUCAAAUCUGAGUCCUCUGAAAGAGCAACCAGUGCUUCUAACCACUGAGCCAUCUCUUCAGACACCCAGUACUAUUGACGACGGCAUUUUGGAUACAUUUAUUCUGUCAUUUCUAAAAAUUCUUAUAAAAUUAUGCCAAUCAUUUAGUAA